rnacentral:rRNA from 1 species
CACCCGCAGCUCGAGUGGUGGUCACUUUUAUUGAGCCUAAAGCGUUUGUAGCCGGAUCCGUAAAUCUCCAGGCAAAUUCCUUCGCUUAACGAAGGAUCUUCUGGAGAGACUGCGGAUCUAGGGACCGGGUGAGGUUGAAUGUACUUCUGGGGUAGGGGUAAAAUCCUGUAAUCCUGGAAGGACGACCGGUGGCGAAGGCGUUCAACUAGAACGGAUCCGACGGUGAGGAACGAGGGCUAGGGGAGCAAACCGGAUUAGAUACCCGGGUAGUCCUAGCUGUAAACACUGCCCACUUGAUGUUGCAUCUCCGUGUAGGGGGUGCAGUGUCGUAGCGAAGGUGUUAAGUGGGCCGCUUGGGGAGUAUGGUCGCAAGGCUGAAACUUAAAGGAAUUGGCGGGGGAGCACCACAACGGGAGGAGCGUGCGGUUUAAUUGGAUUCAACGCCGGAAAGCUCACCAGGAGCGACCUUUGAAUGAGAGUCAACUUGACGAGCUUACUCGAUAGAAGGAGAGGUGGUGCAUGGCCGUCGUCAGCUCGUACCGUAGGGCGUUCACUUAAGUGUGAUAACGAGCGAGACCCCCAUCUUUAAUUGCCAUCAUGUUCGAGAGGACGUGGGCACUUUAAAGGGACCGCCAGCGCAGAGCUGGAGGAAGGAGGGGUCGACGGCAGGUCAGUACGCCCCGAAUCUCCUGGGCAACACGCGCGCUACAAAGGACAGGACAAUGGGCUGCGACCUCGAAAGGGGAAGCCAAUCUCGAAACCUGUUCGUAGUUAGGAUUGAGGGCUGUAACUCGCCCUCAUGAAUCUGGAUUCCGUAGUAAUCGCGGGUCAACAUCCCGCGGUGAAUACGUCCCUGCUCCU